rnacentral:tRNA from 1 species
UAAGGAUUGUAAAAAUUUAUUCCACAUCACUCGAAUGCAAAUCAAGUACUUUUAUUAAGCUAAAUCCUC